UAGGGAGACCAUUCCCCAACUGUUGACCGAAAAAUAGUUAAUAGGUCACUGUUGAGGUCAUACCCAGGUCGAACGAGAUUGAGCCAAAGGCUUUCAAACUAUUUUCAGGUUGGGAAAAUGGGCUAUUAGCUCAGGUGGUUAGAGCGCACCCCUGAUAAGGGUGAGGUCCCUGGUUCAAGUCCAGGAUGGCCCACCUGAAACAGCAUUGUGGGGGUAUAGCUCAGUUGGUAGAGCGCUGUCCUUGCACGGCAGAUGUCAGCGGUUCGAGUCCGCUUACCUCCACCAAAAAAAACUUAACUCCCAGCCAAAAAACUCACCGAAAAAGCUUGUCAACUCAAACAGAGAAUGAUAGACUAGAUCGAGUGAUUGCAUGAUUCUUCAGCACCUCUGAUGGUGAAAAACCAAAGAGAAUGCUGGCGACAUCAGCCAGUAAGAACCUAGAAAACUGCAUAGUCAAAGAGAAAGUAAAGAAACAAAUAGCAGGUAGAUAAUUACCAAAUGUUUGUGCAAAUU
rnacentral:tRNA from 1 species